UACGUAGGGUCCGAGCGUUUGUCCGGAAUUAUUGGGCGUAAAGGGCUCGUAGGCGGUUUGUCGCGUCGGGAGUGAAAACCAGAGGCUUAACUUCUGGCUUGCUUUCGAUACGGGCAGACUUGAGGCAUGCAGGGGAGAACGGAAUUCCUGGUGUAGCGGUGAAAUGCGCAGAUAUCAGGAGGAACACCGGUGGCGAAGGCGGUUCUCUGGGCAUGUUCUGACGCUGAGGAGCGAAAGUGUGGGGAGCGAACAGG
rnacentral:rRNA from 1 species